rnacentral:rRNA from 1 species
AUUGAACGCUGGCGGCAGGCUUAACACAUGCAAGUCGAGCGGAGACUUCGGUCUUAGCGGCGAACGGGUGAGUAAUACCUAGGAAUCUGCCCAUUAGCGGGGGACAACGUUUCGAAAGGAACGCUAAAUACCGCAUACGCCCUACGGGGAAAGCAGGGGAUCUUUGACCUUGCACUAAUGGAUGAGCCUAGGCCGGAUUAGCUAGUUGGUAGGGUAAAGGCCUACCAAGGCGACGAUCUGUAGCUGGUCUGAGAGGAUGACCAGCCACACUGGAACUGAGACACGGUCCAGACUCCUACGGGAGGCAGCAGUGGGGAAUAUUGGACAAUGGGCGCAAGCCUGAUCCAGCCAUGCCGCGUGUGUGAAGAAGGCCUCGGUUGUAAGUCGACUUAAGUCGAGGAGGAA